AUUGAGCGCUGGCGGCAGGCUUAACACAUGCAAGUCGAGCGGAGAUGAGGUGCUUGCACCUUAUCUUAGCGGCGGACGGGUGAGUAAUGCUUAGGAAUCUGCCUAUUAGUGGGGGACAACAUUCCGAAAGGAAUGCUAAUACCGCAUACGUCCUACGGGAGAAAGCAGGGGAUCUUCGGACCUUGCGCUAAUAGAUGAGCCUAAGUCGGAUUAGCUAGUUGGUGGGGUAAAGGCCUACCAAGGCGACGAUCUGUAGCGGGUCUGAGAGGAUGAUCCGCCACACUGGGACUGAGACACGGCCCAGACUCCUACGGGAGGCAGCAGUGGGGAAUACUGGACAAUGGGGGGAACCCUGAUCCAGCCAUGCCGCGUGCGUGAAGAAGGCCUUAUGGUUGUAAAGCACUUUAAGCGAGGAGGAGGCUACUGAGACUAAUACUCUUGGAUAGUGGACGUUACUCGCAGAAUAAGCACCGGCUAACUCUGUGCCAGCCGCCGCGGUAA
rnacentral:rRNA from 1 species